rnacentral:rRNA from 1 species
AUUGAACGCUGGCGGCAGGCCUAACACAUGCAAGUCGAACGAGUGGCGGACGGGUGAGUAAUGUCUGGGAAACUGCCUGAUGGAGGGGGAUAACUACUGGAAACGGUAGCUAAUACCGCAUACCAUCAGAUGUGCCCAGAGGGGAUUAGCUAGUAGGUGGGGUAAUGGCUCACCUAGGCGACGAUCCCUAGCUGGUCUGAGAGGAUGACCAGCCACUCUGGAACUGAGACACGGUGCAGACUCCUACUGGAGUCACCAGUGAGGAAUAUUGCACAAUGGGCGCAGUCCUGAUGCAUCCCUGCCGCGUGUUUGAAGACGGCCUUCGGGUUGUAAAGCACUUUCAGCGAGGAGGCGUUACUCGCAGAAGAAACACCGGCUAACUCCGUUCCAGCAGCCGCGGUAAUUC